rnacentral:rRNA from 1 species
AGCAGUCGCCGCGGUAAUACGUAGGUGGCAAGCGUUGUCCGGAAUUAUUGGGCGUAAAGCGCGCGCAGGUGGUUUAAUAAGUCUGAUGUGAAAGCCCCCGGCUCAACCGGGGAGGGUCAUUGGAAACUGGGAAACUUGAGUGCAGAAGAGGAGAGUGGAAUUCCACGUGUAGCGGUGAAAUGCGUAGAGAUGUGGAGGAACACCAGUGGCGAAGGCGACUCUCUGGUCUGUAACUGACGCUGAGGAGCGAAAGCGUGGGGAGCGAACAGGAUAGAUACCCCAGUAGUCCCUGUCUCUUAUACA